rnacentral:rRNA from 1 species
GACGAACCGUGCGAACGUUAUUCGGAAUCACUGGGCUUAAAGCGCGUGUAGGCGGCCCGGCACGUCCGUCGCUGAAAUCCCCCGGCUCAACCGGGGAAGUGGCGGGGAUACGGCCGGGCUGGAGGGGGGUAGGGGGAGCCGGAACUUCCGGUGGAGCGGUGAAAUGCGUUGAGAUCGGAAGGAACGCCCGUGGCGAAAGCGGGCUCCUGGACCCCACCUGACGCUGAGACGCGAAAGCCAGGGGAGCGAACGGG